UGAAUUCUUCCAAAUUCCAGGUCUAUUGUCCUUGCCUAUGACCUUUAGCCCCGGUUUAAGACUUUUCAGUCUCCUGUGUUUAGCUUCGGGACAUUCUGCCAGAGCUAAUGCUUCAAAGCCUUUUGAGCGUUGGCAUGAGUAGUCAGCCUUACCCCUGGAGGGCCGUUUGCUCUUUUUGCUAUAACUAGUAGAGAUGAGAGUAAACGUGCUCCUUUACCAAGGCAGAGUGUUUACCAAGACUACAUCGAAAAUCAUAAUGCUGGAUUUGUGACGUCACCCUCAAUUGUUUCCAGACGGCUUCUCCGGCUGAUCAAAAAGAAGACGAGGCCAGUGUAUGCGCAUGGGGAAGUAGAUCUUCAAACAGAAAGAGGGUUCAGGAAUAAAAACUGUAAUAAUAAUAUGGAGAUCACAAAAUAACCGUAGGUGACUGAAAGACCCCUGGAGCGGGGAGACCCUCACUCAAGUCUCGGGAUGAUGCGACCCCCCAAGAACUCACUGACCAACCAUAAAUAUAAUCCACCAACAUCUCAACAUCACAACAGGAAACUCAGUAUAAUUCACAGCUGGAGCACCAAACAUCUCUAUAUAUCCCAUCACUCUACGUAGCCUAGGGUGAUCCUGAGCUUGCUUCAGCCUCCUGGGUGCCUGCUCAAGCAUAUACCACCACACCUAGCUAGAGUCUGAGUUUUAAGAGCCAAACCUCCUUACUCUACUCUGUGAGACAUCAAACUAAAGAAUGGAUUCCCCUCAAACCGGAGGCUUCCAGGCUGAUUUCUGGUGAUCUGGAAGAUAAGCUUUGAUUGUCUUACAGCCAUCUCUCUAGGUGUGAUGCUUUCAGGAGAGUAACGUUUGAAACCCACUGAAGGAGCAGAAUCAUCCUCGAAUCCUGCCACUCUCAGGGACUCAAGAACAGUCCUCAGGCUUCUGAGCUCGUGAUCCUCCAACUCCCCACAUGUGGAAGCCAAGGAAGAUCUUCAGCUUGUCGAUGACCUAGGAGACUCUUGGAUGAACCAUGAUGAGCGGGACACACUCUUGCAGGUUGCUGAGUAUUGCCUGCCGCUUAAAGCUUACCCUCAAAUCAAAACAAAAAGUGGACUAGGGGAGGGGCACAACGGAUCUCUUUAUCCCUCUUCACAACAUGAACACACUGAAAAAAAUGUCCUUGCUCUAACUUUUCACUGUUAGUAUCAUUGACUGGGCCAGUUGAGGACAGGUGACUGAACCUGGGUGAGCACAGGCUGAGGCCUAGUUACAAUAGUAGAGAAUGGCUCUCGCUGCCCUAUUGUGAGGCUCAUCAGAGAGAAUUCCCGAGCCUUUGAGUGCUUAUGGCCACUUCUAGGAACCUGUUUUAAAGCAGAACAGAAAAAAGAGCCUGUCUUGACGAUUUUCACAAGGCCUGCACGUCUGCUCCAAUCUGUGGUGUUUGUUUGCUUGCUUGUGUAAGGCUUGAAGUGAGUCUUAACUACCAGAAAACCCCCCAAGUGAGACACAGGAAUGGAGUUCGAUGCAAACGAAAGAGGUUUAUUGUUCUGGUGCGUCCACGUGGACCUUCAUCAGCCCCUCAUGGCAUUUCGAGUGACUAUACGGUGACCCCAAUGGCUAUAACAAACAGUUUUUAUACUUUUUAGGGGUACAGGUUACAUCAGCAAGGUUACAGUUUAAACUUAUUGGCUAGCAUAUGACAUGCAUUUGAACUCUAUCUGGGACCAGAGGGUUAGGUGACUAUCAGUCAGUACAUUCUGCAGUUUUUCAAGAAUAUCCCUGCUUCUCCGAGAACUGUGGGUGGAGAACGGAACUUGGCCUAGCCUUGACUCAAGGCCGGAAGCUGGUACUUGGCCUAAUCUUGACCUGAGGCAGUGUGUGUAGGGGCAAAAGCCCCUAGGGCCCUUCACAGGAACCCCGUAACCUUCCUACUUUCUACCAGGCCAAGCUUCUUAAUAGCUCUUAGACUUCAGAUAGAACUAGGGUCCUUCGCUUGCUUGCUUGCUUCUCCAAUAAUCAUGAUUGAGCCCUGCAUCAUGAUGGUAUCUGGCCUCUCCCAGUCCAAUUGAACUCUAAAUCAUUUCUAGUUAAUGGUACCUCCCUACCUCCCAUCCUGCCUAUGUCUAGAGGCCUGAUGAAUCAAUUGCCUAUCUUCUCAUCCUGACCUCCCCCACAGGUCCUUUUCCAUGACUGUAAGCCAUCUGUUCUGCAUCAGACCCAGACUUCUCCAACCACAAAAAGACCUAUAUUUGGAUUUUUGUAGAACACUGAUCCUUUGUGGAUAGAUUCUCUAUCUGUAUGUUCAAUUAACUACAAAACAGAAAUAUCCCGGAGGCAAGUCGGUAGAUUUUGUUAAAUGUCACUCUCUAAACAAUGUAGCACACACAUCAGUUAAGUUGUUCUAGAUAUGGUGGUGUGAACGAAAACUCCCCACAAGAUCAGAUGUUUGGAUACUUGGCCCCCAGUUGGUAGAUGUGACCUUGCUAGACAAAGUUGAGGGCUGGCUUUGAGGUUUCAGAAGGCUCAUGCCAUUCCCAGAGUGCUUGCUCUGCCUGCUGCGUGUGACUCUCAGCUUGUUGCUCAAGCCACCAUGUCUGCCCGAUGCCCUGUUACCUCACUGUAACAAUGUUGGACACAUCUCUCUGGAGCCACGUAUCCCAAAUAAACCCUUGCUUCU